GGCAGAAUUUUUUAUUUUUUUUGUGAACUUUCCCUUUAAAUGUGAAAUUAAUAAGUAGUAAUGAUUUUGAAGUAAUCUUAGUUUUAUGUACAACUUCGAAAAGAGGAUUUUUUUUUCUUUAUUUUUUAUUUUUACAGUGUAUCUGUAUCUAAAUGCCUUUUAGUCUGUGUUUAGCUAGAAGGUGAAUGACUCACGAUGACUUGGUAAGUCAGCAGUUAUGACCGUGAAUCAUGGUGAUGUAGCCCCGAGCAUCAUUACAGCUGGAUCUUCUUAAUGCUUUCUAAAAUGAGUGGCUGUUACAGAUGGAUAAAAACAAAACUGUGAACUUUUUAAAUGGGUCCAGGCAACUGUUCCUGAGGUUAUGUGGAAAUUACAUCUUAAUAAUAUAGAAACUGAAACGAUAGAGAGGCUUGGCGUUGUAAUGAUGACAUCAUCUUUCUGGAAGCAGUGUUUGCUGGGUAAUUUCUGGUGGUGCUGGCAGCCAUCCCAUGCCAGCCUCGGGAGCUCAAGUUUCCCGAAUGCCAAACAAUCAGACUGUCCUGUAGCACUGGGCUUUUCCUAAAAGACCAAUUGCUGUUUAUUCUCCUCCUGUGUAUCUCACACACACAGGAUCUGACAGGACAAGAAGGAUCGAUGUGUUUAUGAAGGACAUGAUGCUCAAGUAAUGGUGAAGGGCAGUGAAAUGGCAUCGGGGAGAUGUAAACAAGCUGGUGAGAGGUGAUCUUCGAGAACGCACAGAGAUACUAUUCCUGUCACAAGCAUCAUGUAGACAUGCUGAUUUAAGAGGAGUUUAUCGAUUGAAAAGCCUUCUUACUGUGCACAGACAGGAACAGCAGGAAGCAUGUGUGUGCGGUUUCACUGGGCACACAAUCUUGUGCAAUGACUGAAGAGGAAGUCCGAGUCAAACCUUGACCUUUUUCCCCCAUUAAACCCUGCACUCUCAGGGAAUAUUUUUUUUUUUUUACAGAGCUGUCAUUUGGGCCUGUAAAGACGUUCACACACAGGACAAGAAGUGCACUGUUGCAUCACAUCUAGGACAGGUCACACACUGUAUGCGUCACAUGCAAUUAAAGUCAGCAGUCCAAAACAAUUCAUCUAAUCAUCAAGAAGGGAAAAAGUUCACUUCAAGAAUGAACAAAGUGGCAUUUGUGAGUUUGAAGUUCGGUUUUUGAAAAAACUGAGCAAAUGGAAAGAGAAAGCAAGAUCUAUAUUAUUAUAGCUCUCUUCAUUUAAGCCAGAGAAAGACAAAUAUUUUGCUAAAAUAUGUACAAUACACAAUCACUAUCCACUUAUUAUGCAUUUUAUACUUGAACAAUGAUUUUUGAUAAAUAUAAUGUAAUUUAGUGGAAGUCGGUGUGUGAGUAGUGCUUAUUAUUAGUGUCUUUUGAAAGAGUACUGAAAUUUGAAACCUUUUUUCUGGCUGGCAUUUAAUAACUUCUGGGAGUCGAUGUACAGCAUUCUGCCUAGAAACAAGAUUUACUAAAUGAGCGGAUUUGAAGAAGAACUGCUCACUGGAUUAACCAGAGUUUAUCAGAGUGACAUCAAAUUAUUUGAAAUAAUUGAGUUUUGUUUGAGCCACUUAGUAUCCACGAAUUUACCUCUAACUGCAAGUAACCACUUAAAUUAUUUAUAGUUAUACCUUUCAGUUUGACAGAAAGUUUUAAAGUCUGCUCUUUUCUGUUCAGCCAUUCCUACGUGGUUCUGUUUAUUUUAGUCUAAAGCCUUAAACCAGACCGUUCCAACUAAAUGAACAGCAUUUAAUAUAUAGAACAGGUCCUUGAAUCAUAUAUUUCAGAUAGACUACACACAUUUUUUUUUUUGGCUUUUCAGCGUUUCCUUAUCUGCUCAGGGAUAAUAUUGUCUGAUUAACACAUCAAUAAAUCAUGGGGCCUUGAUCCAUAAAAACCAUUCCAUUAUUCUCUUCUUCAAUUUAGUUUGCCUAAUAAAGAACCACUCUGAUCCAUGCAAAAAAAGAGCACAGAUUGUAAAUGAGGCCUAUAAAAAGUAAACAUUAGGCAUGGAAGAGCCUCAAGCUAUAAUGAGAACAUUAAGAAAAUGAGAUUUAAGAUAUAGCUCAAAAGGCACAGUGGGAAAAACUUGAUAGAUCUUUUUCUCUCUCUGUCUUGCUAUCAUACAGAUGGCACAGUGCCAACUACUAAAAUAAAUGAACUGCAUUUUAAAGUAGGUGUAAAGUGAUCCAGGGAAUGCGAAGGAAGGACAGCCAUUUCAUUGAGUUGUUGAUUUAGCGUAAUAAAAGCUACAAGUAAACUCCAAAAGUGUAUCUGACAGACACACACACACAUGUAUCUGGCUUUCCUGCAGUGCUGAAGUAAGCCAAUCUGUGUCGCUGCUGUAAAAAUGUGUCAGACUAACUAGUGGUGACUUUACAAAAAGAAGGCCAUCAGUAUUUGGGUCAGAGUUUCUACAAAGUAGGAUAUAUAUAUAUAUAUACUCUUAAAUGUAAAAGAUCGAUCCUAUAGCUGUUUGAGUAAGAGUUAAGCAUGCAGGUGUACAUUACAAUUGCGAAGCGUUGGUGAAGUAGUUUAAAAAAGGAUUGACUUUCAAUUACACUCCUAGAGAAGGUUUUCCAUUUGAAGGUGGCAUAUUUCACUGGGAGUUACAUAAUCCCCACAUUUGUGAGCCCAGCACGACUCCAAGAUCUCCGAGCUUUAAUGAAGACGGGGACCGCGGGGCACAGACUUAGAUCUGCUAACGGACAUGCUGAAGUGUGUGUGUGUGUGCGUUAAUAGAUCCAUGUAGCUUCUUGAAAACACGUCUAUACCCUCGUUAAAACUUAAUUCGAAACAUAGCUCUUAAAGGGGAUUGAAACCUAAAAAUGUUGUCUCUGCUUGUCAAACGUCAAUUCACUGUUAAACUCACAGUUGUAUGCAAAUUGUAUGCAGAAGAAUAAGCAUUCAUGCAUAAACUGUUUACAACUACGUACUUAUUCCCUAUACACUAUAGUGAGUAACUAUAUGAAGAAAGAGUCAGAUAAAAUCAAUGUAUUCAUAUACCAUGUAUUUAAGACACAGUCAACUGGUCAAAGGUGACAGUGAAGACUUAUCAACUUUCUAUUCAUCAAUGGAUCCUGAAAAAAUAUAAAGCAGCACAACUGUUUUAAUAAGUAAUUAUUCUUGAGCAGAAUCUGCUUAUUAUAAUCAUUUCUGAAAGAUUUGUUAUUUGUAUAAUGCCAUCACAGAAGUAAAUGACAUUUUAAAAUAUGUUCAAAUAGAAUAUAGUUAUUUUUCAAAUGAAAUUUCAAUAGUAUUUCACAGCAUUUCUGUUUAUAUUGUAUUUUUAUCAAAUAAACACAGCUUCUCAGUUUUAACUUUGGAUAUCUGUAAGGAGUGUCUGUCUAGCUCCUCAAUCACAAUGUUGUGUAUGUUUUGUUUACUUCCUGUGAGCGAGUUUGAGAGGAGUUCAAAUAAUUAGUGCUUUCAGUGAUCAGACACAGAGAUUGUUUUUGAGCGUCGCCAUGGAAAGUAGAUAUUGUGACACAGCAUGUUAUUACUGUAGUGCUCAAAACAACCAGUAAGUAGCAGCCCUCACUGGGCCUGAAAAUGACAUUAGCAUUUGAAAUAAGGCACCAAGCAGAGAUACCAUAAAGGAAAAAAAGUAAUGCUUUUGCACAUUUAAUUGGACUUCAUUUGAUGGAAAGCAAUGCGAGAGUAUCUUAAAGGACAUAACAUAAAAAUAAAGUAAAAUACUGGAUAUUUUUUAACACUAGUUUACAGGUUCAUCAAGGAUAGGGAUGCAAAAUAUUUGCACAAUAACAUUAUAAUGGCCUUUUCAUUCACCUGUAUUGAUAUACAUUUACAUUUUAGUCACUUAUGAGAAAAAGAGCAAUAAUAUGUACAGUAAUGCUGUGACAAGUCUCAGACUAGUCCAGUAUGCAAGGGUUUUUUAUACAUAAAAAGAAAACAAGUAAAUAAAAUCAAAAACUAAAACUAGUG